rnacentral:rRNA from 1 species
UGGGGAAUAUUGGACAAUGGGCGCAAGCCUGAUCCAGCCAUGCCGCGUGAGUGACGAAGGUCUUCGGAUUGUAAAACUCUUUUUGGCGGGGACGAUAAUGACGGUACCCGCAGAAUAAGCCCCGGCUAACUUCGUGCCAGCAGCCGCGGUAAUACGAAGGGGGCUAGCGUUGUUCGGAAUCACUGGGCGUAAAGCGCACGUAGGCGGACUUUCAAGUCAGGGGUGAAAUCCCGGGGCUCAACCUCGGAACUGCCUCUGAUACUGUUGGUCUUGAAUCCGGUAGAGGUGGGUGGAAUUCCUAGUGUAGAGGUGAAAUUCGCAGAUAUUAGGAAGAACACCGGUGGCGAAGGCGGCCCACUGGACCGGUAUUGACGCUGAGGUGCGAAAGCGUGGGGAGCAAACAGGAUUAGAUACCCCCGUAGUCCCUGAGCGGGCUGGCAAGGCGCAU